AAGAAAAUUCUCUCUUUAUUGAUAAUAGGCAAAAACGUGAGCUACAAUGGCUGCAAUGGACCUUAUUAAUAUGUCGACAGCCUUGACCUUCUAGGGUCUUGAAAAAGAGAAGAAAAGGCAACAAAUAAUUGAGAAAUAAAUGACAAAAUAAAUCUAGACUAAUUUCAACCAACCUGCAAAAGAAAAGGAAAUUUGACAUUUAAUUGAAAAGAUU
rnacentral:lncRNA from 1 species